rnacentral:rRNA from 1 species
AGCGUUGUCCGGAUUUAUUGGGCGUAAAGAGCGUGUAGGCGGCUAGGCAGGUCCGUUGUGAAAACUCGAGGCUCAACCUCGAGACGCCGAUGGAAACCGUCUGGCUAGAGUCCGGAAGAGGAGAGUGGAAUUCCUGGUGUAGCGGUGAAAUGCGCAGAUAUCAGGAAGAACACCCGUGGCUAAGGCGGCUCUCUAGUACGGUACUGACGCUGAGACGCGAAAGCGUGGGGAGCGAACAGG